GGAUGGGAGGGCGAUCUAGCUGCGACAUCUGUCACCCCAUUGAUCGUCAGGGUUGAUUUGACUGGCUAGCCGGGUGUCCCUUCCACACCGCCCCAUGUGCUUGCCUCCCGAAGGUGCGUCGUCUUCACUGUCCUGUGAAAUUUAGGGUCUUGGGUCGGAGGCGGUGUGUAGUGUGACAGG
rnacentral:snRNA from 1 species